AAAUCAGGUGGGACUACCCGCUGAACUUAAGCAUAUCAAUAAGCGGAGGAAAAGAAAAUAACUAUGAUUCCCCUAGUAACGGCGAGUGAACAGGGAGAAGCCCAAAUUUGUAAUCUGGCACUUUUUACAAGUGUCCGAGUUGUAAUUUGUAGAACUGUUAU
rnacentral:rRNA from 1 species